AGACCGGUAGCUCAGAGGAAGAGCGGCUGCCUCUUAAGCAGUAGGUCGAGAUAUCGUAAUUCUCCCGGUCUACCA
rnacentral:tRNA from 1 species